rnacentral:rRNA from 1 species
AACGAACGCUGGCGGCAUGCCUAACACAUGCAAGUCGAACGAGACCUUCGGGUCUAGUGGCGCACGGGUGCGUAACGCGUGGGAACCUGCCCUUAGGUUCGGAAUCACUCCCCGAAAGGGGUGCUAAUACCGGAUAAUGUCUUCGGACCAAAGAUUUAUCGCCUUUGGAUGGGCCCGCGUUGGAUUAGCUAGUUGGUAGGGUAAAAGCCUACCAAGGCGACGAUCCAUAGCUGGUCUGAGAGGAUGAUCAGCCACACUGGGACUGAGACACGGCCCAGACUCCUACGGGAGGCAGCAGUGGGGAAUAUUGGACAAUGGGCGAAAGCCUGAUCCAGCAAUGCCGCGUGAGUGAUGAAGGCCUUAGGGUUGUAAAGCUCUUUUACCCGGGAUGAUAAUGACAGUACCGGGAGAAUAAGCUCCGGCUAACUCCGUG